rnacentral:rRNA from 1 species
GGGCCCGCACAAGCGGUGGAGCAUGUGGUUUAAUUCGAUGCAACGCGAAGAACCUUACCAGGUCUUGACAUCCUCGGAACUUGGCAGAGAUGCCUUGGUGCCUUCGGGAGCCGAGUGACAGGUGCUGCAUGGCCGUCGUCAGCUCGUGUCGUGAGAUGUUGGGUUAAGUCCCGUAACGAGCGCAACCCUUGUCCUUAGUUGCCAGCACGUCAUGGUGGGAACUCUAGGGAGACUGCCGGUGACAAACCGGAGGAAGGUGGGGACGACGUCAGGUCAUCAUGGCCCUUACGACCUGGGCUACACACGUGCUACAAUGGCUGGUACAGAGGGUUGCGAAGUCGCGAGGCGAAGCUAAUCCCUUAAAGCCAGUCGUAGUCCGGAUCGGAGUCUGCAACUCGACUCCGUGAAGUCGGAAUCGCUAG